rnacentral:rRNA from 1 species
CCCCUAGUAACUGCGAGUGAAGCGGGAAAAGCUCAAAUUUAAAAUCUGGCGGUUCCACCGUCCGAGUUGUAAUUUAGAGAAGUGUUAUCCGCGCUGGACCGUGUACAAGUCUCCUGGAAUGGAGCGUCAUAGAGGGUGAGAAUCCCGUCUUUGACACGGACUACCAGGGCAUUGUGAUGCGCUCUCAAAGAGUCGAGUUGUUUGGGAUUGCAGCUCAAAAUGGGUGGUAAAUUCCAUCUAAAGCUAAAUAUUGGGGAGAGACCGAUAGCGAACAAGUACCGUGAGGGAAAGAUGAAAAGAACUUUGGAAAGAGAGUUAAACAGUACGUGAAAUUGCUGAAAGGGAAACGCUUGAAGUCAGUCGCGUUGUUCGGGAUUCAGCUUUAGCUUCUGCUAGGUGGAUUUCCUGUUCGACGGGUCAGCAUCAGUUUUGGCCAGUGGAUAAAGGUUCAGAGAAUGUGACAUCUUCGGAUGUGUUAUAGCUCUGGGUCGCAUACAUUGGCUGGGACUGAGGAACUCAGCACGCCGCAAGGCCAGGUUCGACC